GGCCACAGCUAUAUCACCCUGCAGCCCAAGACUGAAGCUAAGCAGGGUUGAGCCUGGUCAGUACCUGGAUGGGAGACUCCUGGGGAAAACUAGGUUGCUGUUGCUG
ensembl:rRNA 5S_rRNA 5S ribosomal RNA